AGAGUUUGAUCCUGGCUCAGAACGAACGCUGGCGGCGUGCUUAACACAUGCAAGUCGAACGCGAAAGGGACUUCGGUCCUGAGUAAAGUGGCGCACGGGUGAGUAACGCGUGGAUAAUCUACCCGAUGGACUGGGAUAACAUCUCGAAAGGGGUGCUAAUACCGGAUAAGACCACGGAGUCUCUGGGCUCUGCGGUAAAAGGUGGGGACCUUCGGGCCUACCGUCAUUGGAUGAGUCCGCGUACCAUUAGCUAGUUGGUAGGGUAAAGGCCUACCAAGGCAACGAUGGUUAGCUGGUCUGAGAGGAUGAUCAGCCACACUGGAACUGAGACACGGUCCAGACUCCUACGGGAGGCAGCAGUGGGGAAUUUUGCGCAAUGGGGGAAACCCUGACGCAGCAACGCCGCGUGAGUGAUGAAGGCCUUCGGGUCGUAAAGCUCUGUCAGAGGGGAAGAAGUGUAUUGUGGCUAAUAUCCAUGAUACUUGACGGUACCCUCAAAGGAAGCACCGGCUAACUCCGUGCCAGCAGCCGCGGUAAUACGGAGGGUGCGAGCGUUGUUCGGAAUUAUUGGGCGUAAAGCGCGUGUAGGCGGUUUUCUAAGUCUGAUGUGAAAGCCCCGGGCUCAACCUGGGAAGUGCAUUGGAAACUGGGGAACUUGAAUACGGGAGAGGGCAGUGGAAUUCCUAGUGUAGGAGUGAAAUCCGUAGAUAUUAGGAGGAACACCGGUGGCGAAGGCGGCUGCCUGGACCGAUAUUGACGCUGAGACGCGAAAGCGUGGGGAGCAAACAGGAUUAGAUACC
rnacentral:rRNA from 1 species